AUUGAACGCUGGCGGCAGGCCUAACACAUGCAAGUCGAACGGUAACAGGAAACAGCUUGCUGUUUCGCUGACGAGUGGCGGACGGGUGAGAAAUGUCUGGGAAACUGCCUGAUGGAGGGGGAUAACUACUGGAAACGGUAGCUAAUACCGCAUAACGUCGCAAGACCAAAGAGGGGGACCUUCGGGCCUCUUGCCAUCGGAUGUGCCCAGAUGGGAUUAGCUAGUAGGUGGGGUAACGGCUCACCUAGGCGACGAGCCCUAGCUGGUCUGAGAGGAUGACCAGCCACACUAGAACUGAGACACGGUCCAGACUCCUACGGGAGGCAGCAGUGGGGAAUAUUGCACAAUGGGCGCAAGCCUGAUGCAGCCAGGCCGCGUGUAUGAAGAAGGCCUUCGGGUUGUAAAGUACGUUCAGCGGGGAGGAAGGGAGUAAGGUUAAUACCUUUACUCAUUGACGUUACCCGCAGAAGAAGCACCGGCUAACUCCGUG
rnacentral:rRNA from 1 species